rnacentral:lncRNA from 1 species
UGGAUGUGGUAUUUUGUCAAAAGAGUUAGCAAUAAAAACAAUACUCCUAAUAUUUAAAUUUUGUUUGUCGCGAACAUCAUACAAAUAUUGAUAAAAUAAGGUAAAUUUCUACCAUGUCUACUGUUGGUGGCUAUUUAGAUAAUGUAUAAUAGUGAACGAUAUACAAAUUGAUGCAAACAUUGCACAAACUUUCAGAAAUUGUUUUCUUUAAAUUCGAAUAUGCAAGUUAAAACAAAAACAUUUAUAAAUAAAAUAGUGAAUGGGUUAUCUUGGAAGAA